CCAAUACUGAAUUUAUUAACAUCGGCGCAAGAAAAGAAGAAGCUUUCCACUAGUUGUAAGUUUCUUGGGACAAAUGAGAAAUUAAACUGGCAUGAAUUUUUACGAAGAAAUGAAAUGAAAAUAAUCAGAAACGUAAAUAUAAAAGCAUUUAACCGAGAAACUAAAAAGCUUCCUAUCAUCAUUUUAUGAGCAUUUAACCAAGAAACUAAAAUGCUUCCUACCAAGUUGUAACUUCCUUAGGACAAAUAAAAAAUUAAACUGACAUGUUAUUUUAUG